rnacentral:tRNA from 2 species
GCCCCCAUCGUCUAGCCUGGUCUAGGACAUCACCCUCUCAAGGUGGAAACACGGGUUCAAAUCCCGUUGGGGGCG